GUGCCAGCCGCCGCGGUAAUACAGAGGGGGCAAGCGUUGUCCGGACUGACUGGGCGUAAAGCGCACGCAGGCGGUUGUGGGCGUCGGUGCUGAAAGUCCACUGCUUAACAGUGGAACGCGUGCCGAUACGCCAUAACUGGAGCAAUGCAGAGGCCAGUGGAAUUGCCGGUGUAGUGGUGAAAUGCGUAGAGAUCGGCAGGAACACCCAAGGGGAAGCCAGCUGGCUGGGCAUUUGCUGACGCUCAUGUGCGACAGCGUGGGGAGCGAACUGGAUUAGAUACCCCGGUAGUCC
rnacentral:rRNA from 1 species